AUGACCUUCAUCAUCAUCUUCAUCUGGACUCUCACAGCAUUUGCUCAAGAGUGUAGAGGACAGAUCACCGUCACUCAGAGUCCCUCAAUGACAGCAGCUCAACCAGGACAAACUGUGAACAUCAACUGUAGAACCAGCAGAGAUGUGGCCAGUUAUUCCGGAACAUAUUUUUUCAGCUGGUACUUACAGAAACCUGGAGAAGCUCCUAAACUCCUGAUUUAUUAUACAAACCGCCUCCAGUCAGGAACUCCAUCUAGAUUCAGUGGCAGUGGAUCUAACAGUGAUUUCACUCUGACCAUCAGUGGAGUCCAGACUGAAGAUACUGGACAUUAUUACUGUCAGAGUUAUCACAGUGGUGGUGUGUUCACACAGUGA